rfam:Oryctes borbonicus contig24866, whole genome shotgun sequence.
GCAAGAGACAAUAAAGAUUUAUUCAAUUCAAUUCUCGUCCGAUCACUGAAGCCAAGCACGGUCGGGCGCGGUUAGUACUUGGAUGGGUGACCGCUUGGGAACACCGCGUGCCGUUGGCU